AAUGAACGCUGGCGGCAUGCCUAACACAUGCAAGUCGAACGAAGGCUUCGGCCUUAGUGGCGCACGGGUGCGCAACGCGUGGGAAUCUGCCCUUGGGUUCGGAAUAACUCGGAGAAAUCCGUGCUAAUACCGGAUGAUGACGUAAGUCCAAAGAUUUAUCGACCAAGGAUGAGCCCGCGUAGGAUUAGCUAGUUGGUGGGGUAAAGGCCCACCAAGGCGACGAUCCUUAGCUGGUCUGAGAGGAUGAUCAGCCACACUGGGAAUGAGACACGGCCCAGAAUCCUACGGGAGGCAGCAGUGGGGAAUAUUGGACAAUGGGCGAAAGCCUGAUCCAGCAAUGCCGCGUGAGUGAUGAAGGCCUUAGGGUUGUAAAGCUCUUUUACCCGGGAUGAUAAUGACAGUACCGGGAGAAUAAGCUCCGGCUAACUUCGUGCCAGCCGCCGCAGUAAGAC
rnacentral:rRNA from 1 species